rnacentral:rRNA from 1 species
UGGAACGAGCGGCGGACGGGUGAUUAACACGUGGGCAACCUGCCUGUAAGACUAAGAUAACCCCGGGAAACCGGGGCUAAUACCGGAUAAUACUUUUCAUCACCUGAUGGGAAGUUGAAAGGUGGCUUUUAGCUACCACUUACGGAUGGGCCCGCGGCGCAAUAGCUAGUUGGUGAGGUAACGGCUCACCAAGGCAACAAUGCGUAGCCGACCUGAGAGGGUGAUCGGCCACACUGGGACUGAGACACGGCCCAGACUCCUACGGGAGGCAGCAGUAGGGAAUCUUCCGCAAUGGACGAAAGUCUGACGGAGCAACGCCGCGUGAGUGAUGAAGGUUUUCGGAUCGUAAAGCUCUGUUGUUAGGGAAGAACAAGUGCCGUUCGAAUAGGGCGGCACCUUGACGGUACCUAACCAGAAAGCCCCGGCUAACUACGUGCCAGCAGCCGCGGUAAUACGUAGGGGGCAAGCGUUGUCCGGAAUUAUUGGGCGUAAAGCGCGCGCAGGCGGUCCUUUAAGUCUGAUGUGAAAGCCCACGGCUCAACCGUGGAGGGUCAUUGGAAACUGGAGGACUUGAGUACAGAAGAGGAGAGUGGAAUUCCACGUGUAGCGGUGAAAUGCGUAGAGAUGUGGAGGAACACCAGUGGCGAAGGCGACUCUCUGGUCUGUAACUGACGCUGAGGCGCGAAAGCGUGGGGAGCGAACAGGAUUAGAUACCCUGGUAGUCCACGCCGUAAACGAUGAGUGCUAGUGUUAGGGGUUUCCGCCCCUUAGUGCUGAAGUAACGCAUUAAGCACUCCGCCUGGGGGAGUA